rnacentral:rRNA from 1 species
UACAGAGGGGGCAAGCGUUGUUCGGAAUUACUGGGCGUAAAGGGCGCGUAGGUGGCCUUCUAAGUUGAACGUGAAAUCCCUGGGCUCAACCCAGGAACUGCGUCCAAGACUGGGAGGCUUGAAUCCGGGAGAGGGAUGCGGAAUUCCACGUGUAGCAGUGAAAUGCGUAGAUAUGUGGAGGAAUACCGAUGGCGAAGGCAGCCCCCUGGGAUAACACUGACGCUCAUGCACGAAAGCGUGGGGAGCAAACAGG